rnacentral:lncRNA from 1 species
UUAGUUGUAAUUUUGCAUCUUUUCUCUGGUUCUGAUGAACAGUCCAGUGACUUUGGGGACAGAUUAAUUCUAUGAAGUGUGGUGAUUGACCCAGAGGAAGGACAUGGCCUCUAUUUGGAGUGCAGCACAACUAGAAACGACAGAUAUCACCUUACCCAGAAAUAAAUUUAUAUGCAAGAGUGAAGAAGAGGAAGAGUGUUUCUUAUGACUACUUCAAAAUGAAAGCUAUGUAAUCCAAAUAUAAUUUAAUGAAGCUUAAUAUUAUGGACUUCAAAAUAAUGCUAACCAGUGGCGUUCAGAUAACAGUUUAGAGAGUUUUGUCUGUAAUUUAUUGCUCAUUGCAUUCCUUCAAUUUUAGAUAUAGCCUCUCGCUCCUUUGUAAAAUAAUUUUCUUACAAACUAAAACAUUUGUUCAUUAAUAAAC